rnacentral:rRNA from 1 species
AAUAUUUGACAAUGGGCGCAAGCCUGAUCCAGCCAUGCCGCGUGAGUGGUGAAGGAAUUCGGGUUGUACCGCUCUUUCACCGGUGAAGAUAAUGACGGUAGCCGGAGAAGAUGCCCCGGCUAACUUCGUGCCAGCAGCCGCGGUAAUACGAAGGGGGCUAGCGUUGUUCGGAAUUACUGGGCGUAAAGCGCACGUAGGCGGAUUGGUCAGUUAGGGGUGAAAUCCCAGGGCUCAACCCUGGAACUGCCUUUAAUACUGCCAGUCUUGAGUUCGAGAGAGGUGAGUGGAAUUCCGAGUGUAGAGGUGAAAUUCGUAGAUAUUCGGAGGAACACCAGUGGCGAAGGCGGCUCACUGGCUCGAUACUGACGCUGAGGUGCGAAAGCGUGGGGAGCAAACAGG